rnacentral:rRNA from 1 species
CCUACGGGUGGCAGCAGUGAGGAAUAUUGGGCAAUGGAGGAAACUCUGACCCAGCAACGCCGCGUGAAUGAUGAAGGUCUUCGGAGUGUAAAGUUCUUUUCUAAGGGAAGAAGAGAGUGACGGUACCUUAGGAAUAAGCCUCGGCUAACUACGUGCCAGCAGCCGCGGUAAAACGUAGGAGGCGGGCGUUAUCCGGAAUGACUGGGCGUAAAUGGGGGGUAGGUGGUUUGGCAAGUUAGUAGCGUAACUCCAAGGCUCAACCUGGGAACUACUAGUAAAACUGUUGGACUUGAGUGCAGGAGGAGCAACCGGAAUUCGUAGUGUAGCGGUGGAAUGCGUAGAUAUUAGGAGGAACACCAGUGGCGAAGGCGGGUUGCUAGACUGUAACUGACACUGAGGCACGAAAGCGUGGGGAGCGAACAGGAUUAGAUACCCGGGUAGUC